GACAGAGGGGGCAAGCGUUGCUCGGAAUUACUGGGCGUAAAGGGCGCGUAGGCGGAAUGGCAAGUCGGUCGUGAAAUCCUUCGGCUCAACCGAAGAACGUCGAUCGAAACUGCCGUUCUUGAGGAUUGCAGAGGAGACUGGAAUUCCCGGUGUAGUGGUGAAAUGCGUAGAUAUCGGGAGGAACACCAGUGGCGAAGGCGGCUUCCUGGCCUGUUCUUGACGCUGAGGCGCGAAAGCUAGGGGAGCAAACGGG
rnacentral:rRNA from 1 species